rnacentral:snoRNA from 1 species
AGCCUCUCAGGAUGGCACCUGGAGAGUUUCCAGUCCUCUACCAGUCUCGGUCACGGGAGGGAGAGUGAAGCAGAUGCCUGUCCAUUCCAUUCCUAGCUUGGGCAAUGGCUAGCGAGUGGAAGUCCGUCUGCUACAAGU